AUGAGCUUCAGAGCUGGAGAAUGCAACCCCAAAAGGCCUUCAGAUUAUAGAAGGGAAAGUCCUUGCAGCAAGUACUUGCCACCCAAGGAGAGCACAAUUUGGAGGAACACAGGAAUCAGUGGGGAUGUUGUGAUGACCCAGACUCCCCUCUCCCUGUCCAUCAUCCCUGGAGACCUGGUCUCCAUCUCCUGCAGGGCUAGUCUGAGCCUCCUACAUAUCCAAGACAGAUUCAGUGGCAGUGGGCCAGGGACAGAUUUUACACUGAAGAUCAGCAGGGUGGAGGCUGUAGUUGUUGGAGUGUAUCACUGCCUGCAACACACACAUGCUCUGUCCACGGUGAUAUAG